rnacentral:rRNA from 1 species
UACGAAGGGGGGCUAGCGUUGCUCGGAAUUACUGGGCGUAAAGCGCACGUAGGCGGCUCUUUAAGUCGGGGGUGAAAUCCUGGAGCUCAACUCCAGAACUGCCUUCGAUACUGAAGAGCUCGAGUCCGGGAGAGGUGAGUGGAACUGCGAGUGUAGAGGUGAAAUUCGUAGAUAUUCGCAAGAACACCAGUGGCGAAAGGCGGCUCACUGGCCCCGGGUACUGACGCUGAGGUGCGAAAGCGUGGGGAGCAAACAGG